rnacentral:rRNA from 1 species
GUCUACGGCUGUGCCACCCUGAAUAAGCCUGAUCCCGUCUGAUCUCGGAAGCUAUGCAGGGUUGGGCCUGGUUAGUACUUGGAUGGGAGACCACCUUGGAAGACCAGGUGCUGUAGGUG